rnacentral:lncRNA from 1 species
UAUGGUUUUACUUUGUCUUUCUUCUUAAGGCCGAGUUACUGGGUUAUUGGGUAACUCAGACUACAACCUGCUGACUGCCUGCUUCCAUCUCCCAAGUGGUAGGAUCAUAAAUAUGUGCUACCAUGCCAGGCAAACAUUUUACAGAUAAGGAUAGCAUUUAUUUAAUCUUCCUGUUCGUCAGUAUUAGAUGAAUUAAAAUCACCCCAGAAGUUUUCAGCAAACAGAGCUUCUCUCUUGUUUUUAUUGGUAGUGCUCAGAGCAGCUUGACUUUUUUUUUUUUUUUUUUUUUUUGGUGGUGGGGCUUUCGAGAUAGGGUUUCUCUGUCUAGCCCUGGCUGUCCUGGAAUUCACUCUGUAGGCCAGGAUGGCCUCAAACUCAGAAAUCUGCCUGCCUCUGCCUCCCAAGUGCUGGAAUUAAAGGCGUGCGCCACCACACCCUGCUGCAGCUUGACUUUUAACUCUGAUUUCCAUUUGUCUUCUUUUUCCCUGGGAUAGUCCUUGAUAGUUCUCACAGUGGCUUGGAGCACAGUGGGAGAGUGUGGACUGAACCCGCCUUUCUUGGCAGGACAGAAGGGAGAUGAGAGGGACGGGGAAUCCUUGCUGCUUGACUCUCAGUGUGUGGUAUAGCCUUGUCUUGCUCGAACUUUCAACAGCUCAGUUUGUAUUUUAAAAGGAAGUAGAAAUGGCUUAUUUAGAUGACUCACACACUUCCCUUUUGAACAGUGACAAUCAGACCUGGAGUAAGAGUAGUCAGGGAAGGCAUUCUGCAUUAGGCUAAGAUUGAAUGUCUGUCCCUCCCUCUGUCCCUCUCAUCCCCACCUGUGGAUAUACACCAUCUGCAGGGAUGCACACGGUCCGCCAAGGGGACUUUACAGUGUCUGAGAAAGCCAUGCCCCACUAUAAUUUUCUGUGACUUAAGACGAUGAAACUGACCAUGUCCUUUGAGACGUUCCAGAUCCUGUGCAGGACGAUUUUUAAAGUUUUUUUGUUGUUCUUGAUGAUGUGAGUCUCCUACACAGUUCUGAUUUUCUCUCAUCAGAAAUCACAAAGUCUACCUGGCUGUGUGAUCAUCCACUGCUACAUAGUUGCAUGUUAUCUGGAGGCAUAAAAGAGUGGGCUUCCCAGGUGCCCGCCUCUCAUGUAAAUCCCGAAAAACCCAGAUUUCAUUUGUGGGUUAAAAUAUCUGUAUAUAAGCCAGGUGUGGUGGUACAGGCAUAAACACCGCUACUCAGGAGACCGAGGCAAGAUGAUCCCUUGAGCCCAGAGGCCAGUCUAGGGAAGAGAGUGAGGCCUCAUCUGAAUUAAAAUAUAAUUUGUUGCUGUAUAGCUUUCCACUCCCAUCCCUUUCAGAUACAAGGAAAUGUGUAGUGCCCAAACCUGAGUUUCAAAAUCAAAGAAGAGGGCUGGAGAGAUGGCUCAGUGGUUACGGGCACUGACUGCUUUUCCAGAGGUCCUGAGUUCAAUUCCCAGCAACCACAUGGUGGCUCACAACCAUCUGUAAUGGGAUCCGAUGUCCUCUUUUGGUGUGUCUGAAGAGAGCAAUAGUGUACUCAUAAUACAUAAAAUAAAUUAAUUAAUUAAAAAACAAAAACAAACAAACAAAACAACAACAACAACAAAAACCCCAAAAAACAAAGAAGAGAGGCUAACCAGAGAAGUACCAGAUUGGCGGUGAUCUGGUUACACCCUCCUUCAGCAUUUCUUCCCACCUGUUCCUUGGGAGGGCCCGCAUCUGGGAUGGAAACAGGAAGAAACGAGGGCCCAGGUGACUAUCAGGCCUGCCUCCAGCUGUGUAGUACUAUGGCGAAGCAGAGGAAGAAACGGAUUUGUGAGGUUUGUUGUUAUUGUUGUAAGUUCUAGGUACCAUAGGUCACAAAUACUGUUUUUCUUUAAAAACAUAGCCACAGAAUGCAGAAAGAAAAUCUGUCCCCUCCUUAUGAUUUUUUCCCUUUUUUCAAAACCUAAUGACAGCAAAAGGUUUGCUCACUUAAAGCUGAAGGGCAAAUGCCAAGGACUCAGGAGGAGACCAGAGCAAGCCCUUCACCGCAGCAGGUGGCUGGGGUUUAGGGAACCAGGGCCUGCAGUUACAGAUGCUUAGGUGAACCUGGAGUAGCCCUGAGCUUGCUUUUGAGUCAUCAGCUGGCUGCUCCCUGGGCGGUCCUGCGGAUUCCCUUCUGGCAGCUUCUUUGAAACAGAGUAACAUUAGAGGUACAACCACCCCCAAACAACGGAAUAGCAACUGCUUUCCUCUCAAUUCCUUCCCUGACCUUCUAAACACACAGGUCAGGCCUCUGAAAGUAAAAGGCUGUCUUUUCAGACCUGAAUCUGGAAUCCCCUGUUUCUCACACCGGUCAUCAGACCUCCAUAUAUCAUAAGACCUCUUCUUUUGUUCCCAAGUAUUAUUUUGUUCCCAUGAAUCUUAUUAUUUGCUUUUAAAGUAUAGAAACAACACAUUCAGAAGGCUCUCUCAGCACUCUCUCUCUCUCUCUCUCUCUCUCUCUCUCUCUCUCUUUUAAAUGAAUGAGUUAGAGUAAAAUGAUGUCACUUUCAUCUUGGAAGUCACCCUAAAUCUUUUGAGAUAUCCUUAAUUGUUUUUGUUGCACAACCCCCACCCCCGCCAUGGCUUAGCCUCAAAUAGAGUGUUUAUGUACCCGAGGAGGACCUUGACUUCUCAUGAGCCUGAAUCCACCUAGGAGGGCUGGGGUUACAGGCAUGUGCCACCACACACGAUUUUUAUGGUGAUGACCAUCAAACCCUGGACUGCAGCUAUGCAGCUAUGCAGCUAAGCAAGCACUGCCAACUCGGCUGCACUCCCAGCCCCUCAAACAGGGAGGCUGGUGGAAGAGUCAGCCCCAGAGAGCCACUGCCCAUUAUAUUACACUGUUGAUAAAUGGAGUUAAUUUAUCUCUGUGGCUCUUUAAUUAAUCCACAACUUAUUUUUCCUCACAUAAAAAUAACUCAACACAAUGAAAUCUUCACUUAUCAGCGACUAUGAACCCAGCCUCUGAGUGAGUGUAGACAAAAUGGGAGGAGUGUGUUUCUUUAUUCUCUGCCCCACAUUGCACUCAGACCCACAUUAUAAGGUCGAGUCUAGUGGGCAUGCUGGGAGCUUGGCUCAGUCAACACAAGGAUAUGUUUAGUUCUCCCAGUAUAAAAGUCACCCAGCCAUUUUCAAAUAUCCCGACAGCUCACUGCAGUGGCAGUCCCUAGGAGCCUCUUUCAAGUGUGUGCUCAUUGACCAUGGCUGCCAAAUGAAGGGUUGGGAACGAGUCUCGCCAUGUCUACUAACUUCCAGAAUUCCUUUAUGUAAAGUCAGGGAAAGAUUAAUGAGGAAUGCAACAUAGUUUAAGUAGAUUUCAUAUUUUAAAACGAUUCUACAUUCACAAAAACACCGACCAGGAAAGGUGGAGGUCUCCUCAGGUUAUCACAUGUACACAGCGAUGUCUAUUACAGUUUACUUAAAAUAACAAACCUUAAUAAGCCAGGCAGGCAGGAGCCCACAGACCAUAGGUACACGCCUGUAACCCAGGCGAGUUGAAAGCCGAGGCAUGAGAAUCACUUGAGCCUAGGAGUUUGGGGGCACCCUGAGCGACAGAACGAGUCCUUGUCUCUUAAAACAAAACAAAAUGGUAAAAGGCUUCUUAUUUUUUUAAUUGAAGAACGG